rnacentral:rRNA from 1 species
AUUGAACGCUGGCGGCAGGCCUAACACAUGCAAGUCGAACGGUAACAGGAAGACGCUUGCUUCUUUGCUGACGAGUGGCGGACGGGUGAGUAAUGUCUGGGAAACUGCCUGAUGGAGGGGGAUAACUACUGGAAACGGUAGCUAAUACCGCAUAACGUCGCAAGACCAAAGAGGGGACCUUCGGGCCUCUUGCCAUCGGAUGUGCCCAGAUGGGAUUAGCUAGUAGGUGGGGUAACGGCUCACCUAGGCGACGAUCCCUAGCUGGUCUGAGAGGAUGACCAGCCACACUGGAACUGAGACACGGUCCAGACUCCUACGGGAGGCAGCAGUGGGGAAUAUUGCACAAUGGGCGCAAGCCUGAUGCAGCCAUGCCGUGUAUAUGAAGAAGGCCUUCGGGUUGUAAAGUACUUUCAGCGGGGAGGAAGGGAGUAAAGUUAAUACCUUUGCUCAUUGACGUUACCCGCAGAAGAAGCACCGGCUAACUCCGUG